CCAAAUGUCACGGUUUUUACAUGAGUGUGAAUGUAGGGACGAUCGUCCAUUUUUAAAAUUUUGGAAUUUUGAAUGAAUCCAAAAAAUAUAGAAAUGAGGUUACAAGGCCUGAAAAUUGUCACAGCAUCACUGGUACCCAAUGACAUUCUCAAUAUACGUUUGCAAGAAUUAAACCCGCCAUAUUUAAUAAGGAAUAUAAACUUUAUUAUUCCCAUCGAUGUUAAUGCAAGUGAGAUUCUUGUGAAAGUAAACGAUAAUAAUAAAGUUAGCAUACAUGCUCCUAUGAAAACUAAUUAAGUUUUAAUAAACCUCUCAUCAAUCAAUAUUAAUCACUUCCUUAAUUAAUCUGAAAUUUUUAAAUAAAUAAAAAAUGGAUCGAGUCAUCAAUUCUUAGUUUAUUUUCUAAAAAAAAGAUAUUAAAUAAUUACAAGUUUGACAACUCUGAGUUUUUAUAUUUUUUAUUUUGCAUUGGCUCUCGUGUUCUUAAGAUGUUAUUUCUGUAUGUUGGUGACAGAUUAUUUCUUGGCUGGUGCUUUUUGAGCUUUUGCUGCCGCAGGUUUUGUGGCCGUAGGUUUCUUUGCUGGCGCUUGGGUUUUUUUCG